CCUACGGGUGGCAGCAGUGAGGAAUAUUGGUCAAUGGGCGGAAGCCUGAACCAGCCAAGUAGCGUGCAGGAUGACGGCCCUACGGGUUGUAAACUGCUUUUAUACGGGAAUAACGCGCCUUACGUGUAGGGCUUUGCAUGUACCGUAUGAAUAAGGACCGGCUAAUUCCGUGCCAGCAGCCGCGGUAAUACGGAAGGUCCGGGCGUUAUCCGGAUUUAUUGGGUUUAAAGGGAGCGUAGGCCGCAUGACAAGCGUGCUGUGAAAUGUCCGGGCUCAACCCGGGCCUUGCAGGGGGAACUGGGGUGCUUGAGUGCGCGGAGGGCAGGCGGAAUUCGUGGUGUAGCGGUGAAAUGCUUAGAUAUGACGAAGAACCCCGAUUGCGAAGGCAGCUUGCUGGAGCGGAACUGACGCUGAUGCUCGAAAGCGCGGGUAUCGAACAGGAUUAGAUACCCCAGUAGUC
rnacentral:rRNA from 1 species